rnacentral:rRNA from 1 species
CUGCAACCCGCCUGCACGAGGCCGGAGUUGCUAGUAAUCGCGGAUCAGAAUGCCGCGGUGAAUGCGUUCCCGGGUCUUGUACACACCGCCCGUCACACCAUGGAAGUUGGGGGUGCCCAAAGCCGGCAGGGAAAUAUGCUGUCUAAGGCAAAACCAAUGACUGGGGUGAAGUCGUAACAAGGUAGC